CAUGCAAGUCGAACGGUCUUCUGACUUCGGUUAGAGGGCAGUGGCGAACGGCUGAGUAAUGCAAAGGUAACCUAUCCUUAAGUGGGGGACAACCCUGAGAAAUCAGGGCUAAUACCGCAUAUAAUCCUCUUAUUACUUGGGAGGAUGAAAGCCUUCGGGCGCUUAAGGAGGGGCCUUUGUCCUAUCAGGUAGUUGGUGGGGUAAAAGCCUACCAAGCCGAAGACGGGUAGCUGGUCUGAGAGGAUGGUCAGCCAGACGGGGAAUGAGAGACGGCCCUGACUCCUACGGGAGGCAGCAGCAAGGGAUAUUGCGCAAUGGGCGAAAGCCUGACGCAGCGACGCCGCGUGGGGGAAGAAGGCCUUCGGGUUGUAAACCCCUUUUCUUGGUGAAGAGGAAGGACCGG
rnacentral:rRNA from 1 species